AGAGAACAUCAGACUAAAGCAACCAAGCUUAAGAGAACCAUUGGUUUCUGUGUUCAGACUACAUAGCAGAAUGAAUCUUUCAAUGUUAACCCUAUCUCUUCUGUGUCUGUUUUGUGUCAUUGUUGGUGCUGAAGUGAACAAGAGAGAUCAAACCAAAAACUGAACUAACGGAAAGAGAAGAAGUUGUCCUAGAUUCUAAUGCAUUUAGUGAAUCUGCAGUGGAAACGCUCGAGAGCAAAAAGAAAGAUUUGAUAUCAGGUUUAAAAACGGUCGUAUCUGCAUUUUGUUUUGCCUUAAAUUGGCUCCCAGGAAGAAGCGUAGGCAGCGGUCAGGAUUUAACCAAUGACCCGGAUGUCCCUGAUGAAAAAAGAGCUCUGCCACUUAUUGUCAUAGGGAAAGCGCUCUGCGUGGCUAACGAUGUCUACAACGCUGCCAAAACGUUCUGCAGAGACCUCAAUGGUAAAAGAGACACAGAGUCCACGCACGAACUUGCUGAAAGAGAGCAACUAUCUGGGGAAAAAGAAAAAAGAGAUGUGUUGUCAGACCUUGCAAGAAAUGUUUGCUCGUGGUUGCAGAGUAAUGGGAUUCUCCGUGACGCUGAGCGUAUGCAAGAGCCACUCGCUGAAAGUGAUGUCGAUAGACGAGAAUUUGGGGAAACCAAGAACAUUUUAGCCAACUAACUUUUCGAGGAAAUCAACACCCCGAAAGAAAUGGUUUUUUUUUACAUAUUGUAUCUUAAGAAAAACUUUGUUUCGUCACGGAAUCUCAAAGAUACUUUUACAAUGGUAACAUUAUGUAGCAUAUAAUUUAUAACCUCAUAUACACCUUAUUCGAGCUUUUCAAAUAAUCUUCCUAAAAAUAAAAUGUAAAAG
rnacentral:sRNA from 1 species